UGAGUAACACGUGAGUGACCUGCCUUUUAGACUGGAACAACUUACCGAAAGGUGAGCUAAUGCCGGAUGAGUUAUAUAAGUGCAUGUUUAUAUAGGAAAAGUUGGGGAGACCUGACGCUGAAAGAUGGACUCGCGUCCCAUUAGCUAGUUGGUAGGGUAAUGGCCUACCAAGGCGACGAUGGGUAGCCGGCCUGAGAGGGUGGCCGGCCACACUGGGACUGAGACGCGGCCCAGACUCCUACGGAAGGCAGCAG
rnacentral:rRNA from 1 species